GAGUUUUGUUCUUUUGCCCUUUGCAGUAAAUCUUGCUGCUACUAACUCUUUGGGACCAAUCAGCUCUCUGUAAAACAGACCAAUCAGUUCUCUGUAAAAUGGACCAAUCAGCAGGAUGUGGGUGGGGCCAGAUAAGAGAAUAAAAGCAGGCUGCCCGAGCCCGCAGCGGCAACUCGCUGGAGUCCUGUUUCACAGGGUGGGGGUUUUGUUCUUUUGCCCUUUGCAGUAAAUCUUGCUGCUACUAACUCUUUGGGUCCACGCUGCCUUUGUGAGCUUUAACACUCACCACGAAGGUCUGCAGCUUCACUCCUGAAGCCAGCGAGACCACGAACCCACACUGAAGGAAGGAAACUCGGAACACAUCCGAACAUCAGAAGGAACAAACUCGACACGUUGCCUUUAAGAACUGUGACACUCACCGCGAGGGUCGGCGUCUCCAUUCUUGAAGUCAGUGAGACCAAGAACCCACCAACCAAUUCCGGACACAAUCUCAGCACUGUGGGAGACUGAGGCACCUGCCAAACCUGCACAGAUUCCUACAGCAGCCAGUUCGCUCUGUCUCGAGGCUUCAGAGGAACACGAACUUCUCUGAUGGAAGAGCCUUGUUCUAGAAGGGAGUGAAGCCUAGGUCUUUCCUGAGCACACAGAAGAUCAAGACCACACUCACUGACUUCUCAUAGUCAAGCAAUUUUGGCCAAUUAAAUGUCAGUUGGAAACUCCUGUGUCAGCUUCUCUGUGGCGGUGAGAAGUCCCUGUGUGACAUCCCAACUCUCCCCUCACCUGCGUUGGCAACCAAGAAAGCCUUGUGUUGGAGGUGGGGCCACAAGUUUAAAGCUAAGUUACCACCUCGAGGGCACAUUCCUGGAGAGCUUCCCAGGCCCACAGUGGCACGUGUAUGAGUGACAGAUCCACUUCUUUAUUACCUUUUUGAAGAACAGGAACCUUUGUCUGGAAAUUCCACAAGUAUGCCUUUUGCAAGAUUAAAAGUGCCACAAAGAACAAAAAUGAGCCCAGGACCAGAUGCAUGUUAAAAGCCAUCAGACACGUUAAGUUUCAUCUCCAUUGACCUGCAGAAGGAGUCUCUCACCACAGCCACCACAUCUAUGCAUGUGCUGAGUCACAUGUGAAGCCAGCACAUCUCAGAGUCUCACCGAAAGCUCAUGUAAGCCACUGGCCUAGACAAGAAGCAACUCUGCACUGCUUUUCAAACAUCAUCCUCCCUCUCGACCGCAG
rnacentral:lncRNA from 1 species